rnacentral:misc_RNA from 1 species
CCCCCUGAAGGCAGGGGUAGGGGGACACCUAAGUGUGGUGUCCAGGGUCCGUUACACCCCGCGUUGUGUGUGAGGAAGGCAAGCACCCCCUGUCCCCUGCCAAUGCCGAACAACCUCUGGUGGUGGCAGGGCCAAGCAGCUGUGACGUAGGGGUGGACAGGGCGAUGUGUCGCUGCUGAUGUCGGCGGUCAGGUCGUGGAUGGCGUUGCGCCGGAGCGGCCUGCGGCAGUGAACGCACUUGCGCCAUCCAUCUGGUGGGCAUGGUGUCGCCGCAGCUCGAGCGCAUCCCCGCCCCGCGCCUCACACUGCCUGCUGGCGGGGGGAGCCUGAGCUACCCCGAGGGACGCACGAGGUGGGGACCGGCGCAAUGUGAGCCGCUGUGGGGCGGCCUCCGCUUCGCAGGCCGGUAGUGUUUUGAGGCAGAGGCCAUGCUCGGAUGACGGAGUCGGCGCAUUGCUGUAGAGCGUGUGCACGACUGCUUUGCGCCACGCGAUGGGGGCCUGCGACAUGCCGGGUGGAGUGUUGUCGAGCUCACGUUGCAUGGCGGAGAACGGACGCGCUCAUAAAAAGUGUUGAAAAUGGAGUGGGGAGGAGCGGGAUGCGCCACAGCUUGACUGCAGCCACGCAGCUGCGAAGGAGAGGGAGUAAGUUCACCUUUGUCUCAUGGUAGAUGUGUGCAGAGUGUUGUUAUGCAUGCCUCGGCACGCUUCAGGCCACGCGUAGAAUGGAUCUUACGAAGCAAACCCGAUGUCACCGAGCCGUCUUCUCUUUGCUCUGUACAACAGUGAGGAGUCGCAGCAAGGAGUGACACGGCAGUCUGAGGAUCUCUCUGCGUUACGCGCUUAGCUGCUUAUACAUGUAUAUCUGUGGGAUGUGUAGUUUCUGUUAUCUACGCUUCCACUCCUCUGAUUCGCAGAGAGAGAUGUGGCCACCCAAUGUGCUCAGAAGAGAGGGCUGUGCAUAUAUGCACUCCAGGUUAUCAGAACUUCAGGGUGGAGUCGUGGCUGUAGUUUCUCAAACACUCCCCGACUCUGAGAAGAGCUCAGGAGCGAAUCGUGGAGCGUUCAUCUUGACGCACCUUGGCUGAACGAGCAUGGGCAAGGGAUGGAAAACGGAAACAAGAAAACACUCCACUUUUCGAAAACGGGGAACAAAAAACAGAUGUUUAAUAACGAUGGUUGGACUCAUGUGGUUGCAUUCAUGCAUCUCUGAAGAGUCGCAAAGGGUGUGCUGACAUACAUUCUGUGUGAAACGGUAGUAUGCGGAUGGGCUUUCUUUCCGUAGCGCUGUGCUGCACUCCUUCCCGCGUCAUAUCUUUGCGCUUCGUGCUUUUUUGUUCGCUUCUUUUUUUUUUCACUCUUCCUCAGCUUUCUUUCGUUUUGUGUCCUUUAACGCGAAGUGAUGUAGCGCUACCGCACACACAUGCACCCCUCCUUUUUUUCGUUGUCGCUGUUGUUUCUCUUUUCAUUUUUUUUUUACGAAUACAUGUCUUUCAGUGACCAUCACUAUUUCUGCACUUGGCGCUUUCUGGAUGCGUGUGCGUGCAGUUCUUGUACACAUGUUUCCACUUAGUAUGAUAUAUUUAUCUUUUUCUGCUCCAUAUCGGAGAAAAAGCGAAACAAAAC